GAUGAACGCUGGCGGCGUGCCUAAUACAUGCCAGUCGAGCGAACGGACGAGAAGCUUGCUUCUCUGAUGUUAGCGGCGGACGGGUGAGUAACACGUGGAUAACCUACCUAUAAGACUGGGAUAACUUCGGGAAACCGUAGCUAAUACCGGAUAAUAUUUUGAACCGCAUGGUUCAAUAGUGAAAGACGGUUUUGCUGUCACUUAUAGAUGGAUCCGCGCUGCAUUAGCUAGUUGGUAAGGUAACGGCUUACCAAGGCAACGAUGCAUAGCCGACCUGAGAGGGUGAUCGGCCACACUGGAACUGAGACACGGUCCAGACUCCUACGGGAGGCAGCAGUAGGGAAUCUUCCGCAAUGGGCGAAAGCCUGACGGAGCAACGCCGCGUGAGUGAUGAAGGUCUUCGGAUCGUAAAACUCUGUUAUUAGGGAAGAACAAAUGUGUAAGUAACUGUGCACAUCUUGACGGUACCUAAUCAGAAAGCCACGGCUAACUACGUG
rnacentral:rRNA from 1 species